rnacentral:rRNA from 1 species
AUUGAACGCUGGCGGCAGGCUUAACACAUGCAAGUCGAGCGGGGGAGGGUAGCUUGCUACUGGACCUAGCGGCGGACGGGUGAGUAAUGCUUAGGAAUCUGCCUAUUAGUGGGGGACAACAUCUCGAAAGGGAUGCUAAUACCGCAUACGUCCUACGGGAGAAAGCAGGGGGUCUUCGGACCUUGCGCUAAUCGAUGAGCCUAAGUCGGAUUAGCUAGUUGGUGGGGUAAAGGCCUACCAAGGCGACGAUCUGUAGCGGGUCUGAGAGGAUGAUCCGCCACACUGGGACUGAGACACGGCCCAGACUCCUACGGGAGGCAGCAGUGGGGAAUAUUGGACAAUGGGGGGAACCCUGAUCUAGCCAUGCCGCGUGUGUGAAGAAGGCCUUAUGGUUGUAAAGCACUUUAAGCGAGGAGGAGGCUACUUUAGUUAAUACCUAGAGAUAGUGGACGUUACUCGCAGAAUAAGCACCGGCUAACUCUGUGCCAGCCGCCGCGGUAA